UCUGUUGAACUCAGCCAGUCGGCGACAUUAGUGGCAUGGAACAGAUUGAACGGGUAUGUUUGGAAUCUUCUUCUUGGCUGUCGUGUUUGGCUGUUCGCGAGAAUUGUUUACAAUCUGAUAUCCCACAUAUCCCGAUUUUGAUCGAGGAUAUUCCUCGAUACGCGUCUUUACCUGAUUAUAAAGAGAAUUGUAUACAAACCAUACAAACAAUUGGUGAGAUUGUACCCAUCACAGCGCGAGUUGCGCAUUUACAAAGUAUUUCAUCAGAUCGCGAGGCAAGAAUUACUCUUAGUCUAGAGGAACUUCCUGUACAUGCUCUUUAUUUCAAGGAUAGCAAGGGAAGGCACCUACUUAUAUGGCUUUUGCCGCUUUUUUAUAAUUGGCUUUUCAUCAUAAAGUUUCACAUGAACGCAGAUCAUCAGACAAUAUGCACAAGUCAAAGUCGAAAAAAAGGAAGCAGAGUUUCAAUCCAAAAACAGCAGAAACUGAUGAGAAUAGUUUCAUGCAUUAUGGAAUGCGUUAUGGAAGAAAAUUAAGGGCGAGGAGGUGACCAUGUCAUUAAUUAUUCGGUCGAAUACUGAAUUUUGAAUUUUAUUACAGUCUUUUCAGCUCUUUCGCAAUAUAAAGUGCAAAGUAUAUAAUGGUGACAUUAAAUUUGCAUCAACAGAUGCGCGAGGACUAGGCUUCAAAAUUGCAUCAUGUGUGAUAAGUGUGAGCAAACAUUCCUUCGAGUUUGUUUAUAAAUCAUUUAUACGAAUAUCUGGUGAUGGUACAUGGAAGACACAUAGAUUUAUUUCACUGUAUGGAGUUGCUUCCUUGAUUGGACAUUAUAUUGGCAAGGUUUUAGAUGUCAUAAUGAAAAGGGCAUAUUGCAAAAUGUGUGAAUCGUGGUCGAAGAAAUUAAAUGAAGUCGAGUAUGAAGAAAACCCAUGACGUACCCAUCACAGUUAAUCACUCAGCAUGAAAAAUGGAGGUCGAUGCCAUUACGCAAAUGUUCCGAAGGUCUGCACGGUGUCAAAUAUGUUCAUUAUAUUGGAGACGGAGA
rnacentral:misc_RNA from 1 species